UACGAAGGGGGCUAGCGUUGUUCGGAAUUACUGGGCGUAAAGCGUGCGCAGGCGGCUUCUCAAGUCAGGGGUGAAAGCCCAGAGCUCAACUCUGGAAUUGCCUUUGAGACUGAGUGGCUUGAGUACGAGAGAGGUGAGUAGAAUUCCUGGUGUAGUGGUGAAAUACGUAGAUAUCAGGAGGAAUACCGGUGGCGAAGGCGGCUAUCUGGCCCAACACUGACACUCAGACCCGAAAGCGUGGGGAUCAAACAGG
rnacentral:rRNA from 1 species